rnacentral:rRNA from 1 species
CCCUUAGAUGUUCUGGGCUGCAUGCGCGCUACACUGACACACUCAGCGAGUCACCUGAUCUGAGAAGACCGGGCAAUCAUGUGAGCGUGUGUCGUGAUGGGGAUAGAAUAUUGUAAUUAUUACUCUUCAACGAGGAAUUCCUAGUAAGCGCGAGUCAGCAGCUCGCGCUGAUUACGUCCCUGCCCUUUGUACACACCGCCUGUCGCUCCUACCGAGGGGGUGAUCCGGUGAAUGAUUCGGACUUUGGCAUUGCUAUGUUUCAUAGCAUUGCUGGGGGAAGUCUUGUGAACCUUAUCACUUGGAGGAAGGAGAAGUCGUAACA